rnacentral:rRNA from 1 species
AUUGAACGCUGGCGGAAUGCUUUACACAUGCAAGUCGAGCGGCAGCGCGGGGCAACCUGGCGGCGAGCGGCGAACGGGUGAGUAAUACAUCGGAACGUACCCAGUUGUGGGGGAUAGCCCGGCGAAAGCCGGAUUAAUACCGCAUACGAUCUGAGGGUGAAAGGGGGGGAUCGCAAGACCUCUCGCAGUUGGAGCGGCCGAUGGCGGAUUAGCUAGUUGGUAGGGUAAAGGCCUACCAAGGCGACGAUCCGUAGCUGGUCUGAGAGGACGACCAGCCACACUGGAACUGAGACACGGUCCAGACUCCUACGGGAGGCAGCAGUGGGGAAUUUUGGACAAUGGGGGGCAACCCUGAUCCAGCCAUUCCGCGUGAGUGAAGAAGGCCUCGGUUGUAAAGCUCUUCGUCAGGAACGAAACGGUAGGUCCGUAA